CCUACGGGAGGCAGCAGUGGGGAAUAUUGGACAAUGGGGGGAACCCUGAUCCAGCGACGCCGCGUGAGUGAAGAAGUAUUUCGGUAUGUAAAGCUCUAUCAGCAGGGAAGAAAAUGACGGUAUCUGACCAAGAAGCGCCGGCUAACUACGUGCCAGCAGCCGCGGUAAUACGCAGGGGGCAAGCGUUAUCCGGAUGUACUGGGUGUAAAGGGAGCGUAGACGGUGCAGCAAGUCUGAUGUGAAAGGUCGGGGCCCAACCGCGGGACUGCAUUGGAAACUGUUGAACUGGAGUACAGGAGAGGUGAGCGGAAUUCCUGGUGUAGCGGUGAAAUGCGUAGAUAUUAGGAGGAACACCGGUGGCGAAGGCGGCUUACUGGACUGUAACUGACGUUGAGGCUCGAAAGCGUGGGGAGCAAACAGGAUUAGAUACCCGAGUAGUC
rnacentral:rRNA from 1 species